GGGCCCGGUCCCCGGUUCGCGCGGGGAGGGGAGGUGACGCUCCGCUCCGCUCCGCGCUCUGCUGAGGCUGGGCAGCCUCCUCGGGCCGGCGCGGCCACAGUUGGUUCCUCAGCCCCCGGCCCUUUGAGAGCUAAUCUUCACACGGGGGAAGGAUGUUCGCAGGGAACGAGACGCGCUAAAGACUUCGGAGUUCACCAGAAAUUUGUAUUUGCUAAAAACAGUGUAAAAUAAUCUGUAUUAGGGGCAUGACCCUGAAUAAAGAGCCGAGGUUAGGCUAGGAUUAUGGGGCAAAACCCACUUUGGGUCACCACGAGCCAUCUGUCUCCUGAAGAAGCCUGGCAGGACGCUGCCCGGCCCAAAGCUCGGUGUUUCUGUGCCAGCCCGCCACCCACAGUACGUGGCCCUGAGCAAGGAGCUGCGUUUGGGAUGGUGUUGUCUCCAAAGGACAGUAACUGCACACAGUCUAUCUUUGAUGUGUACCUGCAGAGAAAAGAACAAGGCAGGAAUCAGGGACAAGCAGAGCACAUUAAUAACUGAGGCUGCUGGCAACACAUUUUGCUUCAUAGAAGACAUGCAAAUUUAUGGGACACAACUUGACAGGAUGAAGGCACU